GUGGUUUUCAAAGCUGUGAACGGCUCUAAAGAAAUUCUUUGUCCUGACAAAAUGGAUGAAUUAUUAAUGCCUUCACAAUACAAGGUGGAGAAAGAUCUUCUUACAUCCUCUGACACCCAGAAAUAUAAUGAGUCUUUCUGACAAGCAGCCAUAGCAAAGCAACAGCUAGAACACGCGGCACGUUACAACCACCUAUAAAUAAUGCAUGCCUAUUAAAACGAAAAAGUUGAGGCAAACAGCACAGGAUAGCUGCUACCAAUGAGAUUACAGUAAAACCGUAUUCAUCCAGACUUCCCAUUUAUGAAGGCUUUGAUGCAAUAGGCCUGCUUUAUGUUCCCUGGUAGCUGUGAGAAAGUAAUCUUGCUAUGUAUUGUCGGUGUUAAUUGUUGACUUUGAUGUAUUAUCUCUCUUUUCAUUUUGUGCAGAGAUUUCAUUUUGUUGAGGUUUCCAGGACUUUCACGUUGAAACAGAACUUAUGGAAACCCCUAUAAGGUCCUGGAUGUCUAACACGAAAAAGCAAAGCUUCCAGGCUGAAGCAAGAGAAUUACAGAUGGUCCUCCUGUCCACCCAAGACUCCAAGGUGCAUGGUUAUAUUUCCCUCUUUAUCUUAAACAUGGUGGUGUGGUAGGGAGUUAUUUUUUUUACGAUUUCUAGUAUCCCCCAAUAAGCAGGGCCAGUGGUUCACAUAAGUGCGCUUAACCUUAAGUGAGACAAGCUCAAAGGUCACAAUCUAACUUCAAUUUGUUGCCAUUGUCAUGAGUAAUCAGAUGAGCAGAAGCGAGAGGCAGUUCAUUUUUCAGUAGGUGUUGUGAAAGCCUUCACUUGCAUAUAGCUAAAUUUAACUUGUACGCUCUGAACAGUCCCAUUUUUCAUUUUCAUACAUAUAACUUCUGCUUUGUGUUUCUUGUAAUAUGUGAAUAGCUGCACUGAUGGUGCAUUUUACAUCUAUAUGCAACCAGUCAUAUGAUAAAAAAAUGUCUGCAUCUUGAAAUAAAAAGCAUGAUUAAAUUCUGCAGCUUUAGACCUCUGUUUAAAAUCUAACCUUCAUUUGCAAAUACAUGGUUUUAACUGCACUGAUAAUUAGUGACUACAUUUCCUGUGUUGUAUUAUUUUCUUUGUUUAUAGAAACUGUGUCAGCAGUCCUGGAGUCCUGUAGCCUUGUUGGAUUAUUUAUUAGGUUUUCACUAAUCAAUUUAUAGGCUGCAGUUGUUUGCAUCUCAGGAAACCUUGUUAGUGAUUACUGAACUAUGAAGCAUUGCCUCUGCAUGAGGACAAUAUAUUAUUAUUAAUCUGUAUUCAUUGACUGGAAUCAGAUCAACUUAAUGGUGCCAUUAAUGAUAACAUGAAACAACACUGUGGUUAGUGUGUUCAGGAAGAAAGGAAAGGAAGGAAGCAUACAGAUAUAAUGCUUCUAAUAGUAAAAUUUGGUGAGGACUAAGUUAAAUUUGGACCAGAGGGAAAUAAGAGGAAAUUAUUGCUUUUUGGAAGGAAAAGUAUCAAUAGGAUUGCAAAACGAGAACCAUAUACAGUAGAGUCUCACUUAUCCAACACUCGCUUAUCCAACGUUCUGGAUUAUCCAACGCAUUUUUGUAGUCAAUGUUUUCAAUACAUCGUGAUAUUUUGGUGCUAAAUUUGUAAAUACAGUAAUUACUAAAUAGCAUUACUGUGUAUUGAACUACUUUUUUUGUUAAAUUUGUUGUAUAACAUGAUGUUUUGGUGCUUAAUUUGUAAAAUCAUAACCUAAUUUGAUGUUUAAUAGGUUUUUCCUUAAUCUCUCCUUAUUAUCCAACAUAUUCGCUUAUCCAACAUUCUGCCGGCCCGUUUACGUUGGAUAAGCGAGACUCUACUGUAUGUGUCCCUACACAUAUAUGCAUACAUAAACUCAAAACAACAGUUGAAUGAGGACGAAGGAC
ensembl:lncRNA